GGGGCCAUAUCUCGAUGUUGAUUAAGCAUUGGCAUCAACCUGACGUUAAGGAAGAGGCAUCACAUCGCUCAUUCCAAGAUCUCAAUAGAGUUAAGCACUACUCUAUCUAAAACUCUCUAAGGUUAAGCACUGUCCUUGGAAAGUCAAGUGGGUUAAGCACUACGCUCUUUCGAGAAAACUGACUAAGGCUAAGCAUUGUCCUUGAAAGUUAGUUGGGUUAAGCACUACCCGC
rnacentral:lncRNA from 1 species